CCCCGGCUGAACUUAAGCAUAUCAAUAAGCGGAGGAAAAAGAAACUAACAAGGAUUCCCCUAGUAACUGCGAGUGAAGCGGGAAGAGCUCAAAUUUUGAAUCUGGCGGUCUUGCGGCCGUCCGAGUUGUAAUCUAGAGAAGCGUUUUCCGCGCUGGCCCGUGUACAAGUCUCCUGGAAGGGAGCAUCAUAGAGGGUGAGAAUCCCGUCUUUGACACGGACUACCAGGGCUAUGUGAUGCGCUCUCGACGAGUCGAGUUGUUUGGGAAUGCAGCUCAAAAUGGGUGGUAAAUUCCAUCUAAAGCUAAAUACAGGCGAGAGACCGAUAGCGAACAAGUACCGUGAGGGAAAGAUGAAAAGAACUUUGGAAAGAGAGUUAAACAGUACGUGAAAUUGCUGAAAGGGAAACGCUUGAUGUCAGUCGCGUUGGCCAGGGAUCAGCCUUGCUUGAUUGCUGGGUGUACUUCCUGGUCGACGGGUCAGCAUCAGUCUUGGUCGCCAUACAAGGGCGGGGGGAAUGUGGCACUCUUCGGAGUGUGUUAUAGCCUUUCGUCGGAUGUGGUGGCUCGGGACUGAGGAACUCAGCACGGCUUCUGGCUUGUGCUUAGGAUGCUGGCAUAAUGGCCUUAAGCGACCCGUCUUGAAACACGGACCAAGGAGUCUAACAUGCCUGCGAGUGUUUGGGUGGCAAACUCAAGCGCGCAAUGAAAGUGAAAGUCGAGAGCUCUGUCGUGGAGUGCACCGACGCCCGGACCAGAGUCUUUGACGACGGAUCUGCGGUAGAGCAUGCAUGUUGGGACCCGAAAGAUGGUGAACUAUGCCUGAAUAGGGUGAAGCCAGAGGAAACUCUGGUGGAGGCUCGUAGCGAUUCUGACGUGCAAAUCGAUCGUCGAAAUUUGGGUAUAGGGGCGAAAGACUA
rnacentral:rRNA from 1 species